rnacentral:rRNA from 1 species
GUCUAUGGCUAUACCACCCUAAACAAGCCUAGUGUCUGAUCUCGGAAGCUAAGUAGGGUCCAACCUGGUUAGAACUUGGAUGGGAGACCACUUAGGAGGACCAGGUGCUGUAGGCA